AUUAACGCUAGCGGCAGGCCUAAUACAUGCAAGUCGUACGGUAACAGGCGUAGCAAUACGUGCUGACGAGUGGCGCACGGGUGCGUAACACGUAUGUAAUCUGCCCACAACUGGGGGAUAGCCCGGAGAAAUCCGGAUUAAUACCCCAUAACCCAGCGAAGAGACAUCUCUUUACUGGUAAACCUCCGGGGGUUGUGGAUGAACAUGCGUCCGAUUAGCUAGUUGGCGGGGUAACGGCCCACCAAGGCUACGAUCGGUAGGGGUACUGAGAGGUUACACCCCCACACGGGUACUGAGACACGGACCCGACUCCUACGGGAGGCAGCAGUAAGGAAUAUUGGACAAUGGAGGCAACUCUGAUCCAGCCAUGCCGCGUGAAGGAUGAAGGCGCUAUGCGUUGUAAACUUCUUUUGAACGGGAAAAAACCCCCUUACGUGUAAGGGGUUGAUUGUACUGUUAGAAUAAGCAUCGGCUAACUCCGU
rnacentral:rRNA from 1 species